rnacentral:rRNA from 1 species
CCUACGGGUGGCAGCAGUGGGGAAUAUUGCACAAUGGGGGAAACCCUGAUGCAGCAACGCCGCGUGAGUGAGGAAGUAUUUCGGUAUGUAAAGCUCUAUCAGCAGGGGAUAGAAGAGAAGGUAGCUGACAAAGAAGCACCGUCUAAAUACGAGCCAGCAGCCGCGGUAAUACGUAGGGGGCAAGCGUUAUCCGGAUUUACUGGGUGUAAAGGGAGCGUAGAGGGAAAGGCAAGUCAGAAGGGAAAACCCAAGGCCCAAACAUGGGACUGCUUUUGAAACUGUCAAACUAGAGUACGGGAGAGGUAAGAGGAAUGCCUAGUGUAGCGGUGAAAUGCGUAGAUAUUAGGAGGAACACCAGUGGCGAAGGCGUCUUACCGGACCGAAACUGACGUUGAGGCUCGAAAGCGUGGGGAGCAAACAGGAUUAGAUACCCGGGUAGUC